rnacentral:rRNA from 1 species
CGGGGGGGGCAAGCGUUGUUCGGAAUUACUGGGCGUAAAGGGCUCGUAGGCGGCCAACUAAGUCGGACGUGAAAUCCCCAGGCUCAACCUGGGAACUGCGUCCGAUACUGGAUGGCUUGAAUCCGGGAGAGGGAUGCAGAAUUCCAGGUGUAGCGGUGAAAUGCGUAGAUAUCUGGAGGAAUACCGAUGGCGAAGGCGGCAUCCUGGACCGGCAUUGACGCUGAGGAGCGAAAGCCAGGGGAGCAAACGGGAUUAGAUACCCCGGUAGUCCUAGCCCUAAACGAUGAAUGCUUGGUGUAACGGGUAUCGAUCCCUAUUGUGCCGAAGCUAACGCAUUAAGCAUUCCGCCUGGGGAGUACGGUCGCAAGGCUG